GUGGGGAAUAUUGGACAAUGGGCGAAAGCCUGAUCCAGCCAUGCCGCGUGUGUGAAGAAGGUCUUCGGAUUGUAAAGCACUUUAAGUUGGGAGGAAGGGCAGUAAGUUAAUACCUUGCUGUUUUGACGUUACCAACAGAAUAAGCACCGGCUAACUUCGUGCCAGCAGCCGCGGUAAUACGAAGGGUGCAAGCGUUAAUCGGAAUUACUGGGCGUAAAGCGCGCGUAGGUGGUUCAGCAAGUUGGAGGUGAAAUCCCCGGGCUCAACCUGGGAACUGCCUCCAAAACUACUGAGCUAGAGUACGGUAGAGGGUAGUGGAAUUUCCUGUGUAGCGGUGAAAUGCGUAGAUAUAGGAAGGAACACCAGUGGCGAAGGCGACUACCUGGACUGAUACUGACACUGAGGUGCGAAAGCGUGGGGAGCAAACAGGAUUAGAUACCCCGGUAGUCC
rnacentral:rRNA from 1 species